rnacentral:lncRNA from 1 species
UCCGCCCCCACGCUUGCUCGCAGCAAAGCCCACCUCCGCGCUCUCGCAAGCGCCGCAGCCACUGCGAGCCUCUAAGCGCCGAGCUCCGGAACCGCCGCAGCUCGCCUGGCGCAACGGCCACCCUAGCGUGCCCGCAUGCUCGCCAACCAGCGCACCCGCACGCCUGCCACCACGCGCUGACCGGCCGUUCCACAAAGGCCAUUGAUGUGUUCAACCAAGGAGGGGUGGUUCUGGACGCCAACCCACGACGACAGGGAGAUGCGGCGGCUCGAGCCCAGAGCGGAACCACCGGCCGGGGAUGCACGCUGCGGUGCAGAUCCGGCGUGACUCGACGGGGUCACACACGCCAGCAUUGUGGGGAAGAAACAGAGAAAGGAGGAGAGAGAGAGGUGAGUGGGUGAGAGGACCUAUCUUUUUCGCCUGUUGCAAUGCACGGGCUCUUUUGCUAGUAUUUUAUGAAAAAUAUAGUUACUAUUUCCAUCUGAAGAAUCUAAAUAAUUUUUUGUAUGUUAGAGACAAUUAAAUGCAUUCUUUCCAAAACAUCAUCUAUUUCUGAACAGAGGUUGUGUACGGUAUGCAGAUUCACGUGACACAGUUCCAAUCAAGAUUCAAGAUCUUCAUAAAAGCACCAAUUCAAGUUUCAGAUUACAGCUUAAUGGAAAGAAGAAUAUGUGGUGUGUG